rnacentral:tRNA from 1 species
AGUCCUGAGGUGUUUUCCACAUCAAAAUGCAAGUUUGAAGAAGGACCCCAUAGGGUCCCGGGGCUU